rnacentral:rRNA from 1 species
GAUGAACGCUAGCUACAGGCUUAACACAUGCAAGUCGCGGGGUAACAUCUGGUAGAGCUUGCUCUUCCAGGAUGACGACCGGCGCACGGGUGAGUAACGCGUAUCCAACCUGGCCCAUACCACGGGAUAGCCCGUCGAAAGGCGGAUUAAUACCGUAUGCUGUCAUUAAGAUGCAUAUAUUGAUGACGAAAGGACUGGCGGUAUGGGAUGGGGAUGCGUCUGAUUAGCUUGUUGGCGGGGUAACGGCCCACCAAGGCGACGAUCAGUAGGGGUUCUGAGAGGAAGGUCCCCCACAUUGGAACUGAGACACGGUCCAAACUCCUACGGGAGGCAGCAGUGAGGAAUAUUGGUCAAUGGGCGCAAGCCUGAACCAGCCAAGUAGCGUGAGGGAAGACUGCCCUACGGGUUGUAAACCUCUUUUGUUUGGGAAUAAAGUGCGGGACGCGUCCCGCAUUGCAUGUACCAUUUGAAUAAGGACCGGCUAAUUCCGUGCCAGCAGCCG